rnacentral:rRNA from 1 species
UCCCGAAAUGGUAAGAGUUAAGUUUAUUUUUUGUUGUGUGAUUUAAUAAUGCUCUAUAAAAUAUACUUGGAAGUGAUAUGUUAAUCGUUUACUAAGAUAUCUGGUUCUUUCAGAAGUAAAUUUAAUUUAGAUUCAUUUGUGUUAUAUUUAUUAUUAUUUAUAAGUAAUACAGUGUGAUUAAUAGCAGUAUGGGUAAGCUUAUUGUUAUGUUUAAUUUAUAUACUAUAGUGUAUAUCGGUAGUUUGAAUUAGGCUUUGAAGCAGUCAUUUUAAGUGAAUUUCGUUAUAGAUUGUUAUUUAUUGUAUUGUUGUGUAUUAAUUGUAGUAUGAAGGUUUUUUAUUAAAUUUUGGUUGAAAUGUAAUAAUGUUAUAAUUAGUAAAAUGUGAUGUAUUUGAGAGUUUUGGAUUAAAGGGUUGUUUGAGAUUUAGUUUGUUUCAUUCAGAAGGAACUUGUCAAUUAUAAUUUCCGCCUGUUUAUCAAAAACAUGGCUUCUUGUAUAAUUAAGAGGUCGUACCUGCCCACUGAUAGUAGUUGAAGGGCCGCAGUAAUUCUGACUGUGCUAAGGUAGCGUAAUCAUUUGUCAUUUAAUUGUUGAAUUGUAUGAAUGGUUUGACGARAAGUUGAAUGUCUCCUGGUUGUGUUUAUUGAAUUUUAUUUUUUAGUGAAGAUGCUUGAAUGUUGCUGAGGGACGAGAAGACCCUGUAGAGUUUUAGUGUGUAUUUUCAUAAUUGUGUGAGUGUAUGGUUAUGUAUAUUAUUUAUUUUGGUUGGGGCGAUUAAUUAAGAUACGUAUCUUAAUUUUAGUUUUAAUCAGUGUUGGCUGAAUUUUAUAGAUCCAUUAUUAUUGGUUAAAAGAUCAAAUUACCUCAGGGAUAACAGCGUUAUUGUAUUUUAGAGUUCUUAUCGAUAAUAUAGUUUGCGACCUCGAUGUUGAAUUAGGUUACGUGGAUGGGUGUAGAAGUUCUCYUGGGUARUCUGGUCGACUAUUGGAUACCUACGUGUCGG